UACGUAGGGGGCUAGCGUUGUCCGGAAUCAUUGGGCGUAAAGCGCGUGUAGGCGGUCCGGUAAGUCCGCUGUGAAAGUCGGGGGCUCAACCCUCGGAUGCCGGUGGAUACUGUCGGGCUUGAGUACGGAAGAGGCGAGUGGAAUUCCUGGUGUAGCGGUGAAAUGCGCAGAUAUCAGGAGGAACACCAAUUGCGAAGGCAGUUAACUAUUCUGCUACUGACAUUGAGGCAUGAAAGCGUGGGGAGCAAAACGG
rnacentral:rRNA from 1 species